UACGGGGGGGGCAAGCGUUGUUCGGAAUUACUGGGCGUAAAGGGCGCGUAGGCGGCCUGCUAAGUCGGACGGGAAAUCCCUCGGCUCAACCGAGGAACUGCGUCCGAUACUGGUGGGCUUGAAUCCGGGAGAGGGAUGUGGAAUUCCAGGUGUAGCGGUGAAAUGCGUAGAUAUCUGGAGGAACACCGGUGGCGAAGGCGGCAUCCUGGACCGGUAUUGACGCUGAGGCGCGAAAGCUAGGGGAGCAAACGGG
rnacentral:rRNA from 1 species